UUUGAACGCUGGCGGCAGGCUUAACACAUGCAAGUCGAGCGGGGUGAUGGUGCUUGCACUAUCACUUAGCGGCGGACGGGUGAGUAAUGCUUAGGAAUCUGCCUAUUAGUGGGGGACAACAUCUCGAAAGGGAUGCUAAUACCGCAUACGUCCUACGGGAGAAAGCAGGGGAUCACUUGUGUCCUUGCGCUAAUAGAUGAGCCUAAGUCGGAUUAGCUAGUUGGUGGGGUAAAGGCCUACCAAGGCGACGAUCUGUAGCGGGUCUGAGAGGAUGAUCCGCCACACUGGGACUGAGACACGGCCCAGACUCCUACGGGAGGCAGCAGUGGGGAAUAUUGGACAAUGGGGGGAACCCUGAUCCAGCCAUGCCGCGUGUGUGAAGAAGGCCUUAUGGUUGUAAAGCACUUUAAGCGAGGAGGAGGCUCUUUUGGUUAAUACCCAAGAUGAGUGGACGUUACUCGCAGAAUAAGCACCGGCUAACUACGUGCCAGCCGCCGCCGUAA
rnacentral:rRNA from 1 species